rnacentral:lncRNA from 10 species
AGAACCGGAACUAUGGUUUGUGCGCUCCUUAUUGCCUCCGAAAUAUUUUUAACUGCAGAGGAAAGCCUGUAUUAUUUUGGAGAAAGGCGAACAGAUAAAACCCACAGCAAUAAAUUUCAGGGAGUAGAAACUCCUUGUCAGAAUAGAUAUGUUGGAUAUUUUGCACAAGUGAAACAUCUCUACAACGGGACUAUCCCUCCAAGACGGAUACUCUUUAUAAAAAGAUUCAUUAUUUAUUCGACUCGUGGUGUUGGAACAGGUGAUGUAUGUGAUCUACAAUUCCAAAUAGUAAUGGAGAAAAAGGUUGUCUUUUCCAGUACUUCAUUAGGAAAUUGUUCGCUGCCUCCCUUGGCCUCCCAAAGUGCUAAGA